rnacentral:lncRNA from 1 species
GUGAGCUCUCACAAUCCACCAGUGACACCUAGCAGUAUAUGGUGACAACCCAGUAGAACUGAAAUGAACCUUUAGGUAUAGUUAAUAUGUGAUUCAGUCUCUCUAUCAUGAGUCUCGACUAGAUGACAGGUCAUGGAUAAAUCAUCAAAUCUCAACAUCAGUUAUAUAAUAGAUUCGAUUAGCUCAAGUCCAAUUGUAACUUCUAUGGUAACUCUUUUCAAUCAAUCACACUACUAUGGCCAC